GCGACCCCAGGUCAGGCGGGACUACCCGCUGAAUUUAAGCAUAUAAAUAAGCGGAGGAGAAGAAACUUACAAGGAUUCCCCCUAGUAACGGCGAG
rnacentral:rRNA from 1 species